GACGUAGGGUGCGAGCGUUGUCCGGAUUUAUUGGGCGUAAAGAGCUCGUAGGCGGCUCGUCGCGUCGACUGUGAAAACCUGGGGCUUAACCCUGGGCUUGCAGUCGAUACGGGCAGGCUAGAGUUCGGUAGGGGAGACUGGAAUUCCUGGUGUAGCGGUGAAAUGCGUAGAGAUCCGGAGGAACACCAGUGGCGAAGGCGACACGCUGGGCCGUACCUGACGCUAAAGCGCGACAGCAUGGGGAGCAAACGGG
rnacentral:rRNA from 1 species